rnacentral:rRNA from 1 species
GAUUGAACGCUGGCGGCAUGCCUUACACAUGCAAGUCGAACGGCAGCACGGGUGCUUGCACCUGGUGGCGAGUGGCGAACGGGUGAGUAAUACAUCGGAACAUGUCCUGUAGUGGGGGAUAGCCCGGCGAAAGCCGGAUUAAUACCGCAUACGAUCUACGGAUGAAAGCGGGGGACCUUCGGGCCUCGCGCUAUAGGGUUGGCCGAUGGCUGAUUAGCUAGUUGGUGGGGUAAAGGCCUACCAAGGCGACGAUCAGUAGCUGGUCUGAGAGGACGACCAGCCACACUGGGACUGAGACACGGCCCAGACUCCUACGGGAGGCAGCAGUGGGGAAUUUUGGACAAUGGGCGAAAGCCUGAUCCAGCAAUGCCGCGUGUGUGAAGAAGGCCUUCGGGUUGUAAAGCACUUUUGUCCGGAAAGAAAUCCUUGGCUCUAAUACAGUCGGGGGAUGACGGUACCGGAAGAAUAAGCACCGGCUAACUACGUGCCAGCAGCCGCGGUAAUACGUAGGGUGCGAGCGUUAAUCGGAAUUACUGGGCGUAAAGCGUGCGCAGGCGGUUUGCUAAGACCGAUGUGAAAUCCCCGGGCUCAACCUGGGAACUGCAUUGGUGACUGGCAGGCUAGAGUAUGGCAGAGGGGGGUAGAAUUCCACGUGUAGCAGUGAAAUGCGUAGAGAUGUGGAGGAAUACCGAUGGCGAAGGCAGCCCCCUGGGCCAAUACUGACGCUCAUGCACGAAAGCGUGGGGGAGCAAACAGGAUUAGAUACCCUGGUAGUCCACGCCCUAAACGAUGUCAACUAGUUGUUGGGGAUUCAUUUCCUUAGUAACGUAGCUAACGCGUGAAGUUGACCGCCUGGGGAGUACGGUCGCAAGAUUAAAACUCAAAGGAAUUGACGGGGACCCGCACAAGCGGUGGAUGAUGUGGAUUAAUUCGAUGCAACGCGAAAAACCUUACCUACCCUUGACAUGGUCGGAAUCCCGCUGAGAGGUGGGAGUGCUCGAAAGAGAACCGGCGCACAGGUGCUGCAUGGCUGUCGUCAGCUCGUGUCGUGAGAUGUUGGGUUAAGUCCCGCAACGAGCGCAACCCUUGUCCUUAGUUGCUACGCAAGAGCACUCUAAGGAGACUGCCGGUGACAAACCGGAGGAAGGUGGGGAUGACGUCAAGUCCUCAUGGCCCUUAUGGGUAGGGCUUCACACGCCAUACAAUGGUCGGAACAGAGGGUUGCCAACCCGCGAGGGGGAGCUAAUCCCAGAAAACCGAUCGUAGUCCGGAUUGCACUCUGCAACUCGAGUGCAUGAAGCUGGAAUCGCUAGUAAUCGCGGAUCAGCAUGCCGCGGUGAAUACGUUCCCGGGUCUUGUACACACCGC